UACGAAGGGGGCUAGCGUUGUUCGGGCUUACUGGGCGUAAAGCGCACGUAGGCGGAUUAGUAAGUCAGGGGUGAAAUCCCGGGGCUCAACCUCGGAACUGCCUUUGAUACUGCUGAUCUCGAGUCCGGAAGAGGUGAGUGGAAUUCCUAGUGUAAAGGUGAAAUUCGUAGAUAUUAGGAAGAACACCAGUGGCGAAGGCGGCUCACUGGUCCGGUACUGACGCUGAGGUGCGAAAGCGUGGGGAGCAAACAGG
rnacentral:rRNA from 1 species